rnacentral:rRNA from 1 species
UACGGGGAUGGCGAGCGUUACUCGGAUUUAUUGGGUGUAAAGGGCAGGUAGGUGUCCCACUAAGUUAGAAGUGAAAUCCUGCAGCUUAACUGCAGAACUGCUUUUAAAACUGAUGGGAUUGAGGACAGAAGAGGAGAGCGGAAUUCCCGGUGUAAGGGUGAAAUCUGUAGAGAUCGGGAGGAACACCUGUGGCGAAAGCGGCUCUCUGGUCUGUCCCUGACGCUGAACUGCGAAAGCUAGGGGAG